CCUACGGGAGACAGCAGUGAGGAAUAUUGGUCAAUGGGCGUAAGCCUGAACCAGCCAAGUCGCGUGAGGGAUGAAGGUUCUAUGGAUCGUAAACCUCUUUUAUAAGGGAAUAAAGUGCGGGACGUGUCCCGUUUUGUAUGUACCUUAUGAAUAAGGAUCGGCUAACUCCGUGCCAGCAGCCGCGGUAAUACGGAGGAUCCGAGCGUUAUCCGGAUUUAUUGGGUUUAAAGGGUGCGUAGGCGGCCUUUUAAGUCAGCGGUGAAAGUCUGUGGCUCAACCAUAGAAUUGCCGUUGAAACUGGGAGUCUUGAGUAUGUUUGAGGCAGGCGGAAUGCGUGGUGUAGCGGUGAAAUGCUUAGAUAUCACGCAGAACCCCGAUUGCGAAGGCAGCCUGCCAAGCCAUGACUGACGCUGAUGCACGAAAGCGUGGGGAUCAAACAGGAUUAGAUACCCCAGUAGUC
rnacentral:rRNA from 1 species